CUGAGCUUGGCAUGAGCUCACAGCUCUACUUUAUUAAAAAUUCACCAAACGUUCCACCCAUCCGUGGAGCUGGGAGUCAAAAAGACGACUACGAUUCCUCAGAUCUCUCCUCCAAUGAGUCUAAAACAUCAUCUGGUGGAGAUGACUCUGAUGCACCUUCCCGCCGCUUCUCUUCAGGCUCUGAUACUUCGCUCUCAGAAAUUGAUGAUCGAAUACAAAAGGCCAUGAAAAAUAAGAAAAUGAGUAAGCGAAAAACUCCCUUAAGCCACAAAAAGGUCACAUCUCCUCCUCUCAUGACCGCUAAAACAAAAGUAUACCCCAUGACCAUCACUAAACUCCCUCCGGAAGUUAUUCAAGUAUCUGCAGAGUCUCCCAAAUCCCCAUCAUCACCAUCUCCAGAGCCGAUCCAGCCCUCAAUGCAUCGAGAUGAUAUUACCGUCAAGUUAAUCGAAAGGUCAGUUAUUUCUGGACCUGUAUUGGAGCCUCCUCCGAAGCUCAUUGAGUUGAAAAUUGAGUCGUACAGUGAUUCAAUGAUCAAUGGUCUCCGUCCUGCCACAUCCCCAACCCUUUCCUCUUCUCAUUCACCAAGUCCAUCCGUGAGAAAGACACGUGGAAAGAGUGCGGAGAGAGUUCGGAAAGAAGAGAGAUCGAAAAGGGAAGUCCAGAAGAUUCUUGCUCAAGUUCGUGAAGAGAAUGAAUGGGAGUAUAUGAAGUGUGGGCUUCUUUAAAGGGAAUACCACAGGAUGUCGCGAUGGGAUGAAUGGAUUUGUCAACUCUGAAUAUGCAAUAAUUUAUUCUCCCUCCAAAAUCAUAUCAAAGUUCCAGCUCCUAUUAAAAAGGGUAUUAAUUCAGCAAUACCAUCCUCCUCUAACAAAAAUCAAGUCUCUACCAAUUACAAAGGAGUAGUCGUUCACUAUUUUCUUUAGUCACAAUGAAAAAAGGGGAGCUCCCUAAGAUGGUCAACAUCAAGAACAAUCCUGAAGUACCUACUUGAACACGCUUUACUCAAAAUGGACUGACUCAUAUGAUGGUGUAAUACAAAAUUAACCAAUCAAAAACCUUUCAUUUGACUGGUGUUAAAAUUGUAAUAAUGCACCUCACUACUUUUUUUUAUUUUUUUUUUUUCAUAUCCGCAGCUGUUUAGACGAAAUUUAAAAUUGAAAUCAUUUCCCCACUUCUUUCUAGUUAUUCAUCUAUAGUUAUACUACUAAUACGUAUACCUAUACCAGACCAAAUAUAUAUUUGGUCCAUUUAAAUAAUUUGAAUUAAAUAAUAAUAACUGUUUAAAAAAUGGCGUCCUUCACGAUUUCACUAUUAGAGUAAAAAGUAAGUGUCAAAAUACGAUGUUGUAAUUUGGCUUUUGGCUAUUUUAAUGAAGGUGGAUACCCAAAAAUAUAAUGUUUUUUUUUUCUCUUUGCAAGGUCUGCAAAAUAAUCUCAAAUAUAUAAUAUUUAUAUAUA
rnacentral:misc_RNA from 1 species